rnacentral:rRNA from 1 species
UACGUAGGGGGCAAGCGUUGUCCGGAAUCGAUUGGCGUGAAAGAAGCGCGUAGCGGCCCUGUAAGUCCGCUGUGAAAGUCAAGGGCUCAACCCUUGGAUGCCGGUGGAUACUGCAGGGCUAGAGUCCGGAAGAGGCGAGUGGAAUUCCUGGUGUAGCGGUGAAAUGCGCAGAUAUCAGGAGGAACACCGAUGGCGAAGGCAGCUCGCUGGGACGGUACUGACGCUGAGGCGCGAAAGCGUGGGGAGCAAACAGG